AGCUAACGGAACAGAAUCAAGAAAGGGAAUAGGUGCCACGACAUCCUGGCGAAAUACUUGGUUUUGAAGAAGGACGAAAGGAAGGCGAGACCUGGGAAUCCUCGCUGCUCUUUCGCUCUUAGCUGAGGUCACCAUCUGUUAAGUCUUCCUAGGUUUACCUCGGUGGAAGCCAACAAUCUUCUCCGGUUGGAGCAGUUGGAUGGUCGACUACUCAAAGCACUGACACCCUACACUUCCGUGAAGUCCAAUAGACAAAGACCAUCGACUGUCCAAGCCCCCAAGGGGGUACCCCAUCCAGCGAAACCAGUGAGUUCGGAUACGUUUGAUUCUCUGUGCUCUGAGUCAGAGGGGGACCAGCUUGAG